rnacentral:rRNA from 1 species
GCCAGACUCCUACGGGAGGCAGCAGUGGGGAAUAUUGGGCAAUGGACGCAAGUCUGACCCAGCAACGCCGCGUGAAGGAAGAAGGCUUUCGGGUUGUAAACUUCUUUUAAGGGGGAAGAGCAGAAGACGGUACCCCUUGAAUAAGCCACGGCUAACUACGUGCCAGCAGCCGCGGUAAUACGGAGGAUGCGAGCGUUAUCCGGAUUUAUUGGGUUUAAAGGGUGCGCAGGCGGAAUGUCAAGUCAGCGGUAAAAUUUCGGGGCUCAACCCCGUCGUGCCGUUGAAACUGGCGUUCUUGAGUGAGCGAGAAGUAUGCGGAAUGCGUGGUGUAGCGGUGAAAUGCAUAGAUAUCACGCAGAACUCCGAUUGCGAAGGCAGCAUACCGGCGCUCAACUGACGCUCAUGCACGAAAGCGUGGGUAUCGAACAGGAUUAGAUACCCUAGUAC